rnacentral:tRNA from 1 species
UCCGGAUUAGCUCAGUGGUAGAGCAACCGGCUGUUAACCGGUUGGUCGCAGGUUCGAAUCCUGCAUCCGGAG